rnacentral:tRNA from 1 species
GCAGUGGUGGUUCAGUAGUAGAAUGCUCACCUUCCAGCCUUGCAUGUGGGAGACCUGGGUUCAAUUCCCAGCCAAUGCA